rnacentral:lncRNA from 1 species
UAAACCCAUUAUCUAACAUUAGCUAACCCAUCUUUGUGUUUUAAGCUUUUGAUUUUAUUAAGGCUCUUUGUUAAUGGAGGCAUUGUGGCAUAAUGGGAAAGUCUGGCAUUCCAUUUUGCAUAGAAUCGGGUACAAAUCCCAGCAGUGACAUGUAGCUUUGAGACCUUGGCAACUUGCUUAUCCCCUCUGAGCCUCUCUUUCCUCGUAUGUAAAAUGGGAUCAUUGAUACCUUCUUUGCCAGGGUUAGGUAAGAAUUAGAGAUAAUAUAUGUAAAAUAACUUAAUGCAAGUUCUGGCAUGUAAUAGGGCACUCAGUAAAUCUAAGGGGUUUUUUUUUCUUUGUUAGUGAGGGGUGGUAGAGAGAAAUCAUACUUGGUUGGCAUCUCUUCCAGUUUUGUAAGGAUACCUGAUUUAGUCCUUUUAGAGUGGCAUGGCUAUUGACAUAGAAGUAGUCAUCUACUUUAAAGUUAUAUACUAAUUUACUAGAAGUUCUGAUAUAUAAAAAUAUGUAAUUUCAUUUUUUUCUCUCUUUGUCAACAAAGCCUAUCUGGGCCGGGCGCAGUGGCUGACGCCUGUAAUCUCAGCACUGUGGGAGGCUGAGGUGGGCGGAUCACUUGAGGUCAGGAGUUUGAGACCAGCCUGGCCAACCUGGUAAAUCCCUGUCUCUACUACAAAAAAAUUACCCAGGCAUGGUGGCAGUCACCUGUAAUCCCAGCUACUAAGGAGGCUGAGGCGAGAUAAUCUCUUGGAGUAAUCCCAGCUAUGAAGAUAAUUAAAUGUAAGAUUAAGAAUCUUUUGAAGUCUGUUAAGGUGCUUAAUAAUAAAAUUAAUAACAGAAUGUCUCCUCUUCAAAUUAUUGAACAAUACAAAAGUGAAAUUGUGUGUAUGACAAAAGUAAAAAAAAAAAAAAAGCACGUAAGACCAAAACUGUUUAAACUUUAAAUUCUAAAAACAAAAUGAAAAAAAAAAAACCUAAAAAGUGCCAGGCACAGUGGCUCAUGCCUGUAAUCCCAGCACUUCGGGAGGCCAAGGCGGGUGGAUCAUCUGAGGUCAGGAGUUUGAGGCCAGCCUGACCAACAUGGUGAAACCCCGUCUCUACUAAAAAGACAAAAAAAAAAAAAAAAAAAAAUUAGCCAGGCGUGGUGGCACAUGCUUGUAAUCCCAGCUACUUGGGAGGCUAAGGCAGGAGAAUCGCUUGAACCCGGGAGGUGGAGGUUGCGGUGAGCCGAGAUCACGCCAUUGCACUCC